CCUACGGGGGGCAGCAGUGAGGAAUAUUGGUCAAUGGACGAGAGUCUGAACCAGCCAAGUAGCGUGAAGGAUGACUGCCCUAUGGGUUGUAAACUUCUUUUAUAAAGGAAUAAAACGAGGCACGUGUGCCCUUUUGCAUGUACUUUAUGAAUAAGGAUCGGCUAACUCCGUGCCAGCAGCCGCGGUAAUACGGAGGAUCCGAGCGUUAUCCGGAUUUAUUGGGUUUAAAGGGAGCGUAGAUGGGUUGUUAAGUCAGUUGUGAAAGUUUGCGGCUCAACCGUAAAAUUGCAAUUGAUACUGGCAGUCUUGAGUACAGUUGAGGUAAGCGGAAUGCGUGGUGUAGCGGUGAAAUGCUUAGAUAUCACGAAGAACCCCGAUUGCGAAGGCAGCUUACUAAACUGUGACUGACAUUGAUGCUCGAAAGUGUGGGUAUCAAACAGGAUUAGAUACCCCGGUAGUC
rnacentral:rRNA from 1 species